rnacentral:misc_RNA from 1 species
UCCGAUUUGUCACCGGCAGUCUCCUAUGAGUCCCCGACAUAACUCGCUGGCAACACAGGACAAGGGUUGCGCUCGUUGCGGGACUUAACCCAACAUCUCACGACACGAGCUGACGACGGCCAUGCAACACCUGUCACAGGGUUCCAAAAGGCACACUCUACUUUCGUAGUGCUUCCCUGGAUGUCAAGCCCUGGUAAGGUUCUUCGUUUAUCGUCGAAUUAAAGAACACGAUCCACCGCUUGUGCUGAUCCCCGUCAAUUCCUUUAUGUUUUAGUCUUGCGACCGUACUCCACAGGCGGGAUACUUAACGCGUUAGCUUCGCUACUGAAGGGGUCGAUACCUCCAACAGCUAGUAUCCAUCGUUUACGGCGUGGACUAC